GGAUUCAGUCUGUCGGCGUGCGCGUCUGGCCGGAAAGCGCGGUAGGGCUUCMCGGGACCGGGGCCGUCCGACCGGGCGCUCCGCGCGCUGGCAGACGCAUUUGACUCUCGUCCUAAGGACGCUGCAGCCGGCGGGGCAGUGCAAGCGCGACGGCCUGAAGGUCGGGAGAUGGCAGGUGGCCGCUGGCGCGUCGAGUGCGCGUCGGCGGUUGUUAGCCGUCCCGUCAGUGGCCCGUCGCCCCGCCGAGGUGUCACGAGGCCCCCAGUGGGCCCUUCCGUCUCCUCCCCGAGACGCGGGAUGGACCGUUCGCUGGCGAAGGCCGACGUCCCGUCGCACUACUUCGGAGUGGGCGGGCGUCGCGUCGGCGCCGCAGGCGAAGGCAAGGCCCGUCGGGAGACCGGAGGCUGGCAGCGAGUAGGUCGGUCACCCACCCGACCCGUCUUGAAACACGGACCAAGGAGUCUAACAUGUGCGCGAGUCAAUGGGUCUUGAACAGGCCCAGGGGCGCAAUGAAAGCAAAGGCUUGUGAUCUGCAGGCCGAGUUGGGAUCCCCGCUCCCCCGUGGGCGGGGCGCACCAACGACCCGUCCCGUCCGGCUCGCCGGUGGGGCGGAGUGUGAGCGUACACGUUGGGACCCGAAAGAUGGUGAACUAUGCCCG
rnacentral:rRNA from 1 species